AGGACGAACGCUGGCGGCGUGCUUAACACAUGCAAGUCGAGCGGAAAGGCCCUUCGGGGUACUCGAGCGGCGAACGGGUGAGUAACACGUGAGCAACCUGCCCUUAGCUUCGGGAUAGCUCCGGGAAACCGGAAUUAAUACCGAAUAUGACUUUGGCUGACAUCAGCAGAAGUGGAAAGUUUUUCGGCUAGGGAUGGACUCGCGGCCUAUCAGCUAGUUGGUGAGGUAACGGCCCACCAAGGCGACGACGGGUAGCCGGCCUGAGAGGGCGACCGGCCACACUGGGACUGAGACACGGCCCAGACUCCUACGGGAGGCAGCAGUGGGGAAUAUUGCGCAAUGGGCGAAAGCCUGACGCAGCGACGCCGCGUGGGGGAUGAAUGCCUUCGGGUUGUAACCCCUUUCAGCAGGGACGAAGCGAAAGUGACGGUACCUGCAGAAGAAGCGCCGCUAACUACGUGCCAGCAGCCGC
rnacentral:rRNA from 1 species